rnacentral:rRNA from 1 species
GGUCUCUUGAUUAUAUAAGAGAUUUAACCUGCCCACUGAAAAAUUUGAAGGGCCGCAGUAUUUUGACUGUGCAAAGGUAGCAUAAUCAUUAGUCUUUUAAUUGAGGGCUUGUAUGAAUGGUUGGACGAGGUAAGAACUGUUUUAUGUUGAUUAUCAUUGAAUUUAGAUUUUAAGUAAAAAGACUUAAAUGUUAUUAGGGGACGAGAAGACCCUAUAGAGUUUAAUAUUCAAAGUUUUGAUUAAGUUAUGAGUAAAUUUUAGAUUACUAUAGAAAAUAUUUAAUUGGGGUGAUUAGAAAAUAUAAUAAACUUUUCUUUAGUUUGAAUGAAAUUAUUAAAUAUAAUGAUCCAUAGUUAGUGAUUGUAAGAUUAAAUUACCUUAGGGAUAACAGCAUAAUUCUUUUUGAGAGUUCAUAUCGAAAGAGGAGAUUGUGACCUCGAUGUUGGAUUAAGAUUAGUUUUAGGUGUAGAAGUUUAAAAAUUAAGUCUGUUCGACUUUUAAAAUCUUACA